AUUACCGCAAUAAACCAAUGACAUAACCUCACCUUGGUGAUGGAGACGGAUAUGUGCUUAGUAAUGUAAAAUCACAUGUCCAAAUUGUUUUCAGUUUCAGGCCACUCGAGUUUACUUUUUGGUCCCAAGUCUUUGGCCCUGAUGAGGUUUUUAUACGUUUCGGGGUCGAACUCAUCCACGCCGUGACCUUCAUAUUUCGAGUAAAACUUUGCGGUUAUUAUAUUUUCUAAAAUGCCCAAAUUCGGAAGCUACCCUCGAUUCGUGCAAGGUAGCACAAGCUGUUCCAAGAUGGCCGAGAAGACGACCAGGAGGAACCUCGAUCUAGACGUCCCGGCAUGUCAAUAACUGAUGCAAGCGUGAAGAAAUGGUUUUGAAAAAUCGUCGAACCACUAUUGGAGAAGCGGC